UUGGGAUAGCUCAGUUGGUAGAGCAGAGGACUGAA
rnacentral:tRNA from 13 species